rfam:Callipepla squamata strain Texas jcf7180005234163, whole genome shotgun sequence.
AAAGGCAGGGGAGACACUAUAAUCAGGCAGGUGGUUUUCCCAGGGCGAGGCUCAUCCCCUGCUCUCUGGGUGUGCUGACCCCUGUGAUUUCCCCAAAUGCGGGAAACUCGACUGCAUAAUUUGUGAUAGUGGGGGACUGCGUUCGCACUCUCCUA